GACAGAGGGUGCAAACGUUGUUCGGAUUCAUUGGGCGUAAAGGGUGCGUAGGUGGCGCUGUAAGUCGGGUGUGAAAUUUCGGAGCUUAACUCCGAAACUGCAUUCGAUACUGCGGUGCUUGAGGACUGGAGAGGAGACUGGAAUUCAUGGUGUAGCAGUGAAAUGCGUAGAGAUCAUGAGGAAGACCAGUGGCGAAGGCGGGUCUCUGGACAGUUCCUGACACUGAGGCACGAAGGCCAGGGGAGCAAACGGG
rnacentral:rRNA from 1 species